GUCAGACGGAAAGACCCCGUGCACCUUUACUACAGCUUUGCAGUGGCCCCAGGAACCGAAUGUGUAGGAUAGGUGGGAGGCUUUGAAGCACAGUCGCUAGAUUGUGUGGAGCCGUCCUUGAAAUACCACCCUUGUAUGUUUGAUGUUCUAACAUUGUUCCCUUAUCGGGAAUGUGGACAGUGUCUGGUGGGUAGUUUGACUGGGGCGGUCUCCUCCCAAAUAGUAACGGAGGA
rnacentral:rRNA from 1 species